rnacentral:lncRNA from 1 species
UUGGUCUUUAGUAGAAGAAAGAACAACAUGCAGAGGCAUGUUCCCUUUCCUGUUAAGAAGUUGUUCUUGUGUUCUGAGUGAUUUAUGUUUUAAAUAAGGAGGGCAGACAGUUGUGCCUGCCUUGUGUUUCUGGUCUGAGAGGGCACUUAGCUGUGCCUGCCUCGUGCUUAUAGUCUGAGAGGGCACCUCGUCGUGCCUGACUUGGGAUGUGGUUUUCUCCCUGUAAAGUUGAACUUAAGUCGGUGAUUAUGCUAUAAUAUGUAUUAAUUAAUGAAACUUGUGUCAAGAACUGGUUGGCGGUGAACAACUUCCUGCAACUUUUAUUCUUUUUCUCCAAGCUGCAUUCAUGAUCACUGAUCAUCCUGCAAAGGAGCUGCAGGCUGUGACUCAUCAGGCCUUGUGUAUUUUGGUCAAAGGUCCAUUGACUUGGGCUGCCUGCCAAUGCUGCACAUGCUAGCAAGUUUUGAGCAUCUGGUAUUGUGGCUGCAGGUAAUCCUCACCUGCAGCCACAAAUAUUGUUAUUAGAUAAUGCUUUAAAAACAAUUUUUUACUAGUAGGGUCCUCUACCAAUCAUGACCGUGCCACAGGUUUACAAGAAGCUUUGUUGUUUUUUGUGCUGUGAAAAUUUAGUGGGUUCCACUGUUCAUGGUUUUUUCGAUGAAAAUUAGAGUAUAUUUUUACUGUUUUGGCC